AAACCAGACUCCUACGGGAGGCAGCAGUGGGGAAUAUUGCACAAUGGGGGGAACCCUGAUGCAGCGAUGCCGCGUGGAGGAAGAAGGUUUUCGGAUUGUAAACUCCUUUUAUCAGGGACGAUAAUGACGGUACCUGAAGAAAAAGCUCCGGCUAACUACGUGCCAGCAGCCGCGGUAAUACGUAGGGGGCGAGCGUUAUCCGGAUUCACUGGGUGUAAAGGGAGCGUAGACGGCCGUGCAAGCCAGGAGUGAAAGCCCGGGGCCCAACCCCGGGACUGCUCUUGGAACUGUGCGGCUAGAGUGCGGGAGGGGCAGGCGGAAUUCCCGGUGUAGCGGUGAAAUGCGUAGAUAUCAGGAGGAACACCGGCGGCGAAGGCGGCCUGCUGGACCGCGACUGACGUUGAGGCUCGAAAGCGUGGGGAGCGAACAGGAUUAGAUACCCCCGUA
rnacentral:rRNA from 1 species